ACCAAGACUUGCAUGAUGUAAAUACCUAAGUUUGUCAUACGUAGUAAAAACCAGUUCAAAUCUCGUGUUUCUUUGUCAAUCCUCAGGCCUGUUUACAUGGAGAGGUGGCGAAUACCUUAAAUGUUACGAUCCUCGUGCCAAGUAGGAUAGAUUAGGAGAGGUGGUACAAAUGCAUGUAGAUACCAAGACUUGCAUGAUGUAAAUAUUUAAGUAUGUCAUACAUAGUAAAACCAGUUCAAAUCUGAAAGCUAUCUCAUGUUUCUUUGUCAAUCUUCAGGCCUGUUCACACGGAGAGGUGGCGAAUACCUUAAUUGGUACGAUCCUCAUGUCAAGUGAGACAUGAGAGAUGGUAUAAAUGCAUGUAGAUACCAAGCUUUGCAUGAUGUAAAUUCUUAAGUUAAAUUCUUAACGUACAGUUAUGUCUCCUAAACUGCUCUCUAAAUUUUCAAAUAAUUUUACAUGCACAUCACCAUCAUGAGCACAAGGAACACGUGCAUUUACAUGUUACUUUGACCUUCACCUUGACUUGAGAUACUUUUUAAAGUCAGUGUCUUCAGAAAAUAAGCAAUUUAGGUGCCAUACGAUAUGGAGGUAUUCAUCACCUUCAGUGAUAGCUCUAGUUAUUUAAAUUUUAAAGGUUUAAUGACUGAAAUUGAAUCAUUUGAUACCAUUAAUGGCAUAAAAAAUUUAUUCAAUGAGUACUGUCUUGUUCUUAUAAUGCGAUCUACUCUUGUCAAUACGAUUGCUGUAGAACUGAUUGGACCUACAUAUUUACAAUAGUUUAACUGUUGUUCUGUUUCCUUUUUACAGUCCCAAUAUUAUUGCACAUUCGGUAGCAAAGAUGUUGACACCACAUGUCGUCUGAUGAUGACUUUUAUGGGAUGGAAUAAGGUUUGGUCAUUGUAUUCCCUGAAAGGAAUGAGAGGAGAAAAUUAACUGGAAGACCUGGCUAUCUGCAGGCCAAUGCUGGCUGCAGGUCAAUAUUGAGUAAGUUCAAUGCUCUUAUGAAAACUCAUGACAAUAACAAAAAAAAGAAGCUGAGGAUGCUGUUUUUAAAACAUGCUCCAUUCAAAAAAGGUGGAUUGAAAUUUAAGAAAGGUGUGACGGGUGCGUCUGCUGCAGGCAGGGAGGAUUUGACCGUCAGCCAGAGGAUUUGGAGAUAUACUGUAAUGUCUUUAAUGUGGACUUGCGUGUGAUUUAAGUUUUCACAAGGGUUUUAGUGUGUGUGAAAGUAUGUCAGUUUUCGAAAUUGAGCUAUGUCAAUUUGCUCAAACUACAUAACUUAAAGAACUUUGAAGCGGUCUUGUUGACGUCAUGAGCUUUUGUUUAAUACCAGUAUUGGUGAUAUAGGCCCAUGAUUAUAUACUGUAGAAAGUGAACAAGUUCACUGCUCGAUACAGAUAGUCAUAUAGCCUGAUCUCUGAAUGAUAUUUAUGAACCAAAAGAAGGCAUAAAAUAAAAACAUACAGUAGUGAUUUGAA
rnacentral:lncRNA from 1 species